UCUAAAACAGUUUUAGAUGGGCUUAUAAUGC
rnacentral:piRNA from 1 species